rnacentral:lncRNA from 1 species
GCGCACCGGCCAGCUAGCCCCUUUGUGCGGCGGGGGCUGCGGAGUGCUCCCUCCAAGACCGGUUGCACCCCGCUUUCCUGGCCAGGACUCUGGGCGCAGCAGCUACAAAGACGACGCCGGCUGCGCUCGCGGGACCAGAGGGAGGGAGGCUGCGGACGAGUGCGGGGAGGAGUUUGAGAUGGGAGGCGCUUGCAGGGGCUCCCCCAGUUCUGCGCUGUGAGCCGGGGCACAAAGAGCCCUCUGCACUAGCGCCGCAGGACCGCGGACCCGAGUUGGAGGCAUCUGUCCACCCAUGUGGUUCCAGACACGUUCAUGUGGCCACCAUGACCCCGUCGGCAUCACAGGAGUAACCAAGAGAGCAGCAAGUUCCUGGGACAGAGGAGACAGAAGGGAAUUUCCAGGUUCUUCAGGACGUUCACAACCACACUGAGAAGCAUCUUUGCAGAUAAGUAUUUAAACUUACCAGCCCAUAGCCUACCAGCCUGCCCUCUUCUGGUCUGUGCAGGAAAGUGUAGUAUCCUAGAAUACCAAAGUGGGAGGGGAAAUGGGUGAUGUAGCUCAUUCUCUUUUCUACCUCUAUGGAAGAAAGAAAGA